GACGUAGGGCGCGAGCGUUGUCCGGAUUUAUUGGGCGUAAAGAGCGUGUAGGCGGCCAAGCAGGUCCGCUGUGAAAACUCGAGGCUCAACCUCGAGACGUCGGUGGAAACCGUUUGGCUAGAGUCCGGAAGAGGAGAGUGGAAUUCCCGGUGUAGCGGUGAAAUGCGCAGAUAUCGGGAAGAACACCCGUGGCGAAGGCGGCUCUCUGGGACGGUACUGACGCUGAGACGCGAAAGCGUGGGGAGCGAACAGG
rnacentral:rRNA from 1 species